GGCUAGAGGUGGUUCCUGGAGCUUCAGGCUUCCCUGAUGUGAGCUGGAGCGGUGCCAAGGCCCAGGUCUCCCUCCACCAGGUCCUCCUGGUGCUCGGAUCCAGAGUCGCCUCCUGUGGAUGCGAGGAUGCAGCAACACAAAGAGAGUCUCACCUCCUGCACACGGGGGCUACUGAAGACUCUGGCAAACACACCACAGCACUGUGGCAGCGAGUCGGUCAGCGGGGGGCCGCAGUGUGUCAACAGUGGCUUUAGAUAUCUGCAGCCUUGUUAAGACUUGUGACAAAGGUUUGAGUGUCAAAGAUGGCAAACAGAAGAGAGGAAAAAGGUUUCUGGUCCAUUUUACAUCUGACCUCGGGACACUGAGCCAUGAUUGUAAUAAUGAUAACAGAAAGAAAGCACAUCUAAGAGUUUGUUUCGUAAGAUUCUGAGUGAAAUUUAGCAAUUUCAUGUUGUUAGUGCUUUAGGAACGUAUUUUAGAAGUUUCAGAAAGGUUCAGAAGAGCUUUUCAGUUUUAGUUUCUGAUGUUGGAGGGCAAAUCAGACUCUAGCAACUAUGUUAGAAAGACAUAGUGACUCAUUUUAUAGCCGUAAAGUGCUUCCUUGCACACUAUUUUAUAUGUAAAUACAUCAAAAGUGGGAACUACAUUCAGGGUCAGUCACUAUAUAUUUAUAUAUAACCACAAUAGUUUUCUGUUUAAAGAUUCCUGGCAUUUUUUUUUUUACUCUAUAUGCUAAUACACGACAUAAUAACCAUGAAUCAACAUGUUGCUCAAGGACUCUUUGCAAAAAGACCUCAAGUAUUUUCUCUUUUUUUUCUUUACAAUACAAACAAAAGCUAAAAAUAGACGGUCUUUUUCAGAUUGACAUCACUGUACCAAUUUCACAUAAUGCUAAAAUAAUAAUGCAGCUGCAGUAUAUUACGAGGUAGUUGUCAGCUUACUGUCACUAAGUGUCGAUAGCGUUCCACUUCUAAGACAACACACUGCAGAGAGCUGCAUGCUAGUCAUUCAAGCUUUAGGUAUUGUUCUAUUUUUGUUGCAGAAUCUAAACUGUUAGCAUAUUUAAUGGACAUGUACUGGCUUUUGUCUGCAGUGUAGUUGUCUUCAGUAAUAAAAAUUCCAAUGCAACGAAGAAUGGACACAAAAGGCGCUAGCGGAGGGUUAGAGAGAGAUAAAAAUAAUUUGCCCAUUAAAUUAAAAAAAGGCAUCCGUCAUGCACUUGUUGUAGGUAAAUGGGUCAGUUUAGCACUUGAUUGAACCCAGAGGCAGGUCGGAAACGGUUUACAAAUAUGCCAAAGUGCUGAUGUAAAGUUUGGAUGAGAGCAGGAGUAGAUGCGGUUGUUUUUAGAUGCCAAGUGUCGCAGAUAAAGGGAGCCCCAAAUUCACACACAGCUGUGAUGGUAGGUGGCUACUUCAUGAACACAAUGGCACCCUCAAACAGCUCUUUUCAAGCCAGAUUUCACCCAGUAGCUUGUUGACAGCUCAUCUUGUGCGCACUCGAUUCUGUAUUGUCACCACUACAGUAAAAAAAAAGUCCUAAUUAAUAAGUUCCUUUGUUGCAGGAGUUCACGCUCUGCCCUACUUGUGCCUCAAAAAAAGACAAAACCAUACUUCACCGGUGUCAUCAUUCCUAGACAAAAGCAACCUUUUGUACCUCUGAGCCUAUAAUGAACAAUGUGGGAUUUAUAGAGGGGGAACACAAGUACACAAUCCUCUGGCAGAAGCACAAAAUAAGAGGGAAAUGAUCUAAUGUGCAAUUUGGGCGCCAACUCUUACAUUCUAGUUUUGUUAUCAGUGAUGUGCAAGAGGCUGGAAUUAGGGGCGACAUUCAGCUAACAGGAUUUAGUCAUAAAAUGAGGGGCAGAAAGAGAAAAGGGAUAAGGAGGUAGAAAAAAAAAGGAGAAUAAUGACUUUUCAUGGGACGUGCAGGAGCGAGUUCUUGUCGGCGCGGUGUCCUCCUGUUCUGGGUUGGCAUUAUAGUAGACAGGGGUGGUAAUUAUAACUGCGAGCUCUGCUUUCUGCCCCACAGUGGUGUCGGGUUCUAUGUGUGUGUGUCAAUAAGUGUGUGUGGGAAAAGGUGCUGAGUAAUUGUGUGGGGGUAGGAGCCCAACUGCUGCUUCGGCCACCAUGGCAGCGAGCAUCGUUCCCUCCCAACACGUCCCACACGUCACCUUUUCCUGACCUUUCGUCAGCGGUGGAAAAGCAUCAGAGUUGGUGGAGCAUGUUUGCUCCAAUGCUUGCUUCAGUACAUAUGUGUGCUCGAAUAGGUCCAUUUUAUCCUAUGUACUAGUAUACAGCAAGAUUAAAUCAAAAAUGCACGCUUCAGUGAGCAAAAUAAACAUCAAAAAUAAAUUGAA